rnacentral:rRNA from 1 species
GGUUAAGCGACUAAGCGUACACGGUGGAUGCCCUGGCAGUCAGAGGCGAUGAAGGACGUGCUAAUCUGCGAUAAGCGCCGGUAAGGUGAUAUGAACCGUUAUAACCGGCGAUUUCCGAAUGGGGAAACCCAGUGUGAUUCGUCACACUAUCAUUAACUGAAUCCAUAGGUUAAUGAGGCGAACCGGGGGAACUGAAACAUCUAAGUACCCCGAGGAAAAGAAAUCAACCGAGAUUCCCCCAGUAGCGGCGAGCGAACGGGGAGGAGCCCAGAGCCUGAAUCAGCAUGUGUGUUAGUGGAAGCGUCUGGAAAGGCGCGCGAUACAGGGUGACAGCCCCGUACACAAAAGCGCAUGUGCUGUGAGCUCGAUGAGUAGGGCGGGACACGUGGUAUCCUGUCUGAAUAUGGGGGGACCAUCCUCCAAGGCUAAAUACUCCUGACUGACCGAUAGUGAACCAGUACCGUGAGGGAAAGGCGAAAAGAACCCCGGCGAGGGGAGUGAAAAAGAACCUGAAACCGUGUACGUACAAGCAGUGGGAGCCCCACCACCAAAGCAUUUGCUGUACCGUGUUGACGGAGCGAAGCGACGUCAAACCGAUAAAACAGCAGUGUAAAGUGAGCCGCAGGGCGCUUUGCGCGACAGCGCAAAGGCAGGCGGUUUCGCGUAGCGAAAGCGAAUGCUUUGGGGUGGGGUGACUGCGUACCUUUUGUAUAAUGGGUCAGCGACUUAUAUUCUGUAGCAAGGUUAACCGAAUAGGGGAGCCGGAGGGAAACCGAGUCUUAACCGGGCGUUAAGUUGCAGGGUAUAGACCCGAAACCCGGUGAUCUAGCCAUGGGCAGGUUGAAGGUUGGGUAACACUAACUGGAGGACCGAACCGACUAAUGUUGAAAAAUUAGCGGAUGACCUGUGGCUGGGGGUGAAAGGCCAAUCAAACCGGGAGAUAGCUGGUUCUCCCCGAAAGCUAUUUAGGUAGCGCCUCGUGAAUUCAUCUCCGGGGGUAGAGCACUGUUUCGGCUAGGGGGCCAUCCCGGCUUACCAACCCGAUGCAAACUGCGAAUACCGGAGAAUGUUAUCACGGGAGACACACGGCGGGUGCUAACGUCCGUCGUGAAGAGGGAAACAACCCAGACCGCCAGCUAAGGUCCCAAAGUCAUGGUUAAGUGGGAAACGAUGUGGGAAGGCCCAGACAGCCAGGAUGUUGGCUUAGAAGCAGCCAUCAUUUAAAGAAAGCGUAAUAGCUCACUGGUCGAGUCGGCCUGCGCGGAAGAUGUAACGGGGCUAAACCAUGCACCGAAGCUGCGGCAGCGAACGUAUCACUUAAAGCGAUUCAGCGGGUUACGAUUGACGGAGCGAAGCGACGUCAAAGCGUAUACAAAGUCGAGUCGGUUUAAGGAUACGUUCGUUGGGUAGGGGAGCGUUCUGUAAGCCUGUGAAGGUGGCCUGUGAGGGUUGCUGGAGGUAUCAGAAGUGCGAAUGCUGACAUAAGUAACGAUAAAGCGGGUGAAAAGCCCGCUCGCCGGAAGACCAAGGGUUCCUGUCCAACGUUAAUCGGGGCAGGGUGAGUCGACCCCUAAGGCGAGGCCGAAAGGCGUAGUCGAUGGGAAACGGGUUAAUAUUCCCGUACUUGGUGUUACUGCGAAGGGGGGACGGAGAAGGCUAUGUUGGCCGGGCGACGGUUGUCCCGGUUUAAGCGUGUAGGUGUGUGUUCCAGGUAAAUCCGGUUCACUUUAACACUGAGGCGUGAUGACGAGGCACUACGGUGCUGAAGCAACAAAUGCCCUGCUUCCAGGAAAAGCCUCUAAGCAUCAGGUAACAUCAAAUCGUACCCCAAACCGACACAGGUGGUCAGGUAGAGAAUACCAAGGCGCUUGAGAGAACUCGGGUGAAGGAACUAGGCAAAAUGGUGCCGUAACUUCGGGAGAAGGCACGCUGACACGUAGGUGAAGUGAUUUACUCACGGAGCUGAAGUCAGUCGAAGAUACCAGCUGGCUGCAACUGUUUAUUAAAAACACAGCACUGUGCAAACACGAAAGUGGACGUAUACGGUGUGACGCCUGCCCGGUGCCGGAAGGUUAAUUGAUGGGGUCAGCGCAAGCGAAGCUCCUGAUCGAAGCCCCGGUAAACGGCGGCCGUAACUAUAACGGUCCUAAGGUAGCGAAAUUCCUUGUCGGGUAAGUUCCGACCUGCACGAAUGGCGUAAUGAUGGCCAGGCUGUCUCCACCCGAGACUCAGUGAAAUUGAACUCGCUGUGAAGAUGCAGUGUACCCGCGGCAAGACGGAAAGACCCCGUGAACCUUUACUAUAGCUUGACACUGAACAUUGAGCCUUGAUGUGUAGGAUAGGUGGGAGGCUUUGAAGCGUGGACGCCAGUCUGCGUGGAGAGCCAACCUGAAAUACCCACCCUUUAAUGUUUGAUGUUCUAACGUGGACCCGUGAUCCGGGUUGCGGACAGUGUCUGGUGGGUAGUUUGACUGGGGCGGUCUCCUCCUAAAGAGUAACGGAGGAGCACGAAGGUUGGCUAAUCCUGGUCGGACAUCAGGAGGUUAGUGCAAUGGCAUAAGCCAGCUUGACUGCGAGCGUGACGGCGCGAGCAGGUGCGAAAGCAGGUCAUAGUGAUCCGGUGGUUCUGAAUGGAAGGGCCAUCGCUCAACGGAUAAAAGGUACUCCGGGGAUAACAGGCUGAUACCGCCCAAGAGUUCAUAUCGACGGCGGUGUUUGGCACCUCGAUGUCGGCUCAUCACAUCCUGGGGCUGAAGUAGGUCCCAAGGGUAUGGCUGUUCGCCAUUUAAAGUGGUACGCGAGCUGGGUUUAGAACGUCGUGAGACAGUUCGGUCCCUAUCUGCCGUGGGCGCUGGAGAACUGAGGGGGCUGCUCCUAGUACGAGAGGACCGGAGUGGACGCAUCACUGGUGUUCGGGUUGUCAUGCCAAUGGCACUGCCCGGUAGCUAAAUGCGGAAGAGAUAAGUGCUGAAAGCAUCUAAGCACGAAACUUGCCCCGAGAUGAGUUCUCCCUGAGACUUAGAGUCUCCUGAAGGAACGUUGAAGACGACGACGUUGAUAGGCCGGGUGUGUAAGCGCAGCGAUGCGUUGAGCUAACCGGUACUAAUGAACCGUGAGGCUUAACCUU